CAAGCACCUGCACUUCUACGCACUGUGGUAUCAGCGCAUUCCACAGCUAUGAUAGAGGAGGAAAGUGAGCCACCCCUCAACUUCCUUGUCAUCCAAAACCUCAAGCGAUACUAAACAUCAAGGAAGGGAUGGAGAGAAUCUUUGUGCAUGCUGUUGUACCACUGGAAGAAAGGAGAAGACGCAAACCAAGGAUAUUCACAGAGCCUUCUGCUCCAAAUGGCUUAAACUUUCCAUAUCUGAAGGAUUAUCUGUCCAUAGAAUAAGAUCACUUACUGAGGCUUUUAUUGGGUCCAUCCACCUUCUGGAUUCAGGCAGGUGAAGACCUUUCUCUUCAGAGCUUUUGUGCUUUUCCACCGGAUCUUUAUGGAACUUGAGGUAUCUCCGAACAUGCUGUGUUCAUCAUGGUACAGCCUUUCCUCAGUAACGACAGAAGCUUGCGUGCUAAGGCUGAGAUUAUGGAUACCUUUAUAAGAAGUGAGCUCCCUGUAAUGGCUCCUUCACAUGUUUCACUCAU